rnacentral:ncRNA from 1 species
UCAGAAAAGUUACCACAGGGGUGGCGGUGGUGGUAUAUCCCCGCCCGCCCCUGUGAAAUCUCAGUGGUAGCUUUUAAGAGCAGGCUCAAAGUGUCCUGCUAGUCGGCCAUGGUCCGCCUGCUGUCCACCAAUGGACCAUGGGCACCGGCGACAUUGUCAAAUUGCGGGGACAUCCUAAAGCCGACUCCACCAAGUCGUCGUGGAAACACGGACGAUGGCCGAGCUAAUCGCCCUGGGUAUGGUAAAAGCGAGUCCGGAUACUGAAUGGGUAAUCCGCAGCCAAGUCCUACGGUCGGGUCGCCCACGCCCGAUACGGAUGCAGUCCAACGACUAGAUGGCAAUGGGUCGGGCAUCAUACUAUACGUUGCCCGGCUUAAGAUAUAGUCUGGCCCACGGGAAAGCCGUGCC